rnacentral:rRNA from 1 species
CGAACGGCAGCGCGGGAGCAAUCCUGGCGGCGAGUGGCGAACGGGUGAGUAAUACAUCGGAACGUGCCCAAUCGUGGGGGAUAACGCAGCGAAAGCUGUGCUAAUACCGCAUACGAUCUACGGAUGAAAGCAGGGGAUCGCAAGACCUUGCGCGAAUGGAGCGGCCGAUGGCAGAUUAGGUAGUUGGUGAGGUAAAGGCUCACCAAGCCUUCGACCUGUAGCUGGUCUGAGAGGACGACCAGCCACACUGGGACUGAGACACGGCCCAGACUCCUACGGGAGGCAGCAGUGGGGAAUUUUGGACAAUGGGCGCAAGCCUGAUCCAGCCAUGCCGCGUGCAGGAUGAAGGCCUUCGGGUUGUAAACUGCUUUUGUACGGAACGAAACGGCCUUUUCUAAUAAAGAGGGCUAAUGACGGUACCGUAAGAAUAAGCACCGGCUAACUACGUGCCAGCAGCCGCGGUAAUACGUAGGGUGCAAGCGUUAAUCGGAAUUACUGGGCGUAAAGCGUGCGCAGGCGGUUAUGUAAGACAGUUGU